CUUCCAUCUCUGAAAAUCAAGAUCAAGCGAGCUUUUGCCCUUCUGCUCCACAAGAUUUUUUAAACACAAA